rnacentral:rRNA from 1 species
UGGCGGACGGGUGAGUAAUGUCUGGGAAACUGCCCGAUGGAGGGGGAUAACUACUGGAAACGGUAGCUAAUACCGCAUAACGUCGCAAGACCAAAGAGGGGGACCUUCGGGCCUCUUGCCAUCGGAUGUGCCCAGAUGGGAUUAGCUAGUAGGUGGGGUAACGGAUCACCUAGGCGACGAUCCCUAGCUGGUCUGAGAGGAUGACCAGCCACACUGGAACUGAGACACGGUCCAG